rnacentral:rRNA from 1 species
GACGAACGCUGGCGGCGUGCUUAACACAUGCAAGUCGAGCGGUAAGGCCCUUCGGGGUACACGAGCGGCGAACGGGUGAGUAACACGUGAGCAAUCUGCCCUUCACUCUGGGAUAGCCACCGGAAACGGUGAUUAAUACCGGAUAUGACCCUGCCAGGCAUCUGGUGGGGUGGAAAGUUCUGGCGGUGAAGGAUGGGCUCGCGGCCUAUCAGCUUGUUGGUGAGGUAAUGGCUCACCAAGGCUUCGACGGGUAGCCGGCCUGAGAGGGUGACCGGCCACACUGGGACUGAGACACGGCCCAGACUCCUACGGGAGGCAGCAGUGGGGAAUAUUGUACAAUGGGCGAAAGCCUGAUCCAGCAACGCCGCGUGAGGGAUGACGGCCUUCGGGUUGUAAACCUCUUUCAGCAGGGACGAAGCGAAAGUGACGGUACCUGCAGAAGAAGCACCGGCCAACUACGCGCCAGCCGCCGCGGUAA